AGGUCAGAUCAGAAGGACUUCUCGGAAAGCUGGACCUCAUGGCACUCACCGAUCAUUCUGAUAUCCAGAGAAGCCGAGGUGAGAAGCAUUGAUUUAAGAGAUGCCAAGUAACUCAGCGGAUGUCACACAGAUGAUAAAGAGCAAGGAUAGACCUCUUCAUUUCAUGUUUGAGGCAAUUCUCUAAGACAGCUGAUUUCUCCAGAGCUGGUAGUUUAUUCCCCACUGUAGGAGACAGACUUGCUCACGUGAUAGAUCCGGCCAUGAUAUUGUCCCUAAGAGAACGAGAUGCUCUUUGCAGAAGACAUAGAAGAUUCCUGAAACUGGGAAAGGGGCCUAGAAACCUGGAGAAGAGUGAAGAAGGCAUUUUCCCUCCCCUGCUUAGGCAUCUGCCACCAUAUUCAAUACUUUCUCCAGGGUUCUCAGGUUUCCCAUUGGCUUGGAAUUUGUCAAUUAGUUUUGCUGGCUGGACAGAAAGCCACACGGAUCCUCUUGUCUUGGUCUCCUGACAUUUGGAUUAAAGUCACCUGGAGGUGCAGGCCAUCGCUAUGUUAAACCUAUGAGGUGAUGAUAAACCACACAACUGGAAACCAGAAUGGAAGAACAGAAGCUGGAUCCUUGACAGAAUUAUUGAUGGGAUAGUCCAUCAUCUGGGGCUAAGACCACCUCCAGAUUUCUUGUUUGGUGAAAAUUCCUGAUUGUUUACAUUUGUUUAUUUUGAGCAGUCUCUUACUUGUAGCUAAAAGCAUUUCUAAUAGAUAUUCAAAUUAUCUGCACAGCAAGGGGCAGCCAGAGCUCCAGGGGUUCCAACCUAAAAUAAUCUAUGGAACCGCAGAUAAGUGUCUUAGCUUCUUCAUGAAUUCCUUUGCUCAUCUGUGUAAUGCUCAAUAAAUGUAAAUUGAACCCUGAAUGAGGGACAGUGGC
rnacentral:lncRNA from 1 species